ensembl:lncRNA
AGUACGCUACAUCAGCCAGAACACGGGGCAGUUACACAGCGACGAAGCUUGGCUCUGUGUGUCCCAUCAGCAUGGUUCCUCCCAAAAAACUGAAAGAGCAAAAGGAUAAGCCCGAGACGAGGACACAGUUUUGGACACAGACAGUGAGUCCGCCAUCAAUCUGACACAUUAGGUUUUCACGAUAAAACAUAACCAGGGGACAAAUUUGCAUUCAAGAGGAGCGAGAUGUUACAGAGAGACCUUCCAGCAACAGGAAUGGAGUAAGAGAGUACAUUUAAUGUUUCUGUUUCAUUCUUCUUUAUACUACACAAUUCAUUUCAAAGCAAACUAUUGUAGCUUUUACACCGCUACAUUUAUUUGACACCGUACAAAUUUUAAUUUGACAUAAAACCCACAAUGAG